UUCACCAUGUGCAGAGUGGUUAGCGUGUCGUUCUUAUAAUGCGAAAGUCGUGGGUUCGACACCCACCUGGAGUAU